rnacentral:tRNA from 1 species
GCCCGGUUAGCUCAAUCGGUAGAGCGUGAGACUCUUAGAAAUGCCAUUUCAUGGUAUCGAGUACGCGAUCUCAAGGUUGCGGGUUCGACCCCCGCAUCGGGCU